CAGGCCUGGUUGCAAUAUCCUAGUUCAUGAUGUUGUAGAUCUGAAUGAAACCAAUCGUGGUAUCGCACAAAGGACUAUUUACGAUGACAUUAUUCACUUAAUAGUUGGAUGUGGUUUAUUGCCCGCACCAGAUAUUGGAGUUUUGACUCUUCCACAACCCAAUAUAUUAUUCAGAAGG